GAUGAAGAACGCCGCGAAAUGCGAUAAGUAAUGUGAAUUGCAGAAUUCAGUGAAUCAUCGAAUCUUUGAACGCACCUUGCACCCUUUGGCAUUCCGAAGGGUAUGCUCGUUUGAGUGUCAUUGUACUCUCACACUCUCCGAUCCUAUGGAUUCGGGGAGCGGUGGACUUGGGUGUUGCUGCCUUUCCCUGUGGCUCACCUCAAAUGCGUCAGUGCACCUCUUGGUUGGACAUAGUACGGCGUGAUAAGUGUCUUCGCCGGCACCUCGCAAGAGGGUGGCCGAUCGGGAGCUCUGCGCUUUCAAACCGUCUUCGGACAAUUUCUGACAUCUUGACCUCAAAUCGAGUAGGACUACCCGCUGAACUUAAGCAUAUCAAUAAGCGGAGGA
rnacentral:misc_RNA from 1 species